rnacentral:rRNA from 1 species
AGAGUUUGAUCCUGGCUCAGGACGAACGCUGGCGGCGCGCCUAACACAUGCAAGUCGAACGAGCGAGAGAGAGCUUGCUUUCUCGAGCGAGUGGCGAACGGGUGAGUAACGCGUGAGGAACCUGCCUCAAAGAGGGGGACAACAGUUGGAAACGACUGCUAAUACCGCAUAAGCCCACGGCUCGGCAUCGAGCAGAGGGAAAAGGAGCAAUCCGCUUUGAGAUGGCCUCGCGUCCGAUUAGCUAGUUGGUGAGGUAACGGCCCACCAAGGCGACGAUCGGUAGCCGGACUGAGAGGUUGAACGGCCACAUUGGGACUGAGACACGGCCCAGACUCCUACGGGAGGCAGCAGUGGGGAAUAUUGCACAAUGGGGGAAACCCUGAUGCAGCGACGCCGCGUGGAGGAAGAAGGUCUUCGGAUUGUAAACUCCUGUUGUUGAGGAAGAUAAUGACGGUACUCAACAAGGAAGUGACGGCUAACUACGUGCCAGCAGCCGCGGUAAAACGUAGGUCACAAGCGUUGUCCGGAAUUACUGGGUGUAAAGGGAGCGCAGGCGGGAAGACAAGUUGGAAGUGAAAUCCAUGGGCUCAACCCAUGAACUGCUUUCAAAACUGUUUUUCUUGAGUAGUGCAGAGGUAGGCGGAAUUCCCGGUGUAGCGGUGGAAUGCGUAGAUAUCGGGAGGAACACCAGUGGCGAAGGCGGCCUACUGGGCACCAACUGACGCUGAGGCUCGAAAGUGUGGGUAGCAAACAGGAUUAGAUACCCUGGUAGUCCACACCGUAAACGAUGAUUACUAGGUGUUGGAGGAUUGACCCCUUCAGUGCCGCAGUUAACACAAUAAGUAAUCCACCUGGGGAGUACGACCGCAAGGUUGAAACUCAAAGGAAUUGACGGGGGCCCGCACAAGCAGUGGAGUAUGUGGUUUAAUUCGACGCAACGCGAAGAACCUUACCAAGUCUUGACAUCCUGCGACGAUGCUAGAAAUAGUAUUUUCCUUCGGGACGCAGAGACAGGUGGUGCAUGGUUGUCGUCAGCUCGUGUCGUGAGAUGUUGGGU